rnacentral:tRNA from 1 species
GUCCCCGUAGCCCAACGGCAGAGGCAGGCGGCUUAAACCCGCCCCAGUGUCGGUUCGAAUCCGAUCGGGGACA